ensembl:lncRNA
AACAUGCCCGCUAGUGCACCUGUCAUAUCUAUGCUGCUGUGACCUGUUCCUUUUCGACAUUUUCGUAUUUUUCUGUGACUUCAGAGGGAGGUAAACAGGAAGUAAGUGACCUGGCCGUGUCAGGCUGAUCAGAUUUGACAGAACGCGGAGCAGUCCGAUUUGGGUUGACGGUUCGGACGGUUGUUUCCAAUGUUAAGAUUCCGAGAAAACGAUGUGCAAUGUCCCUUUCCACUUCGCAUCCGCUCCAUGUGUGUCGUCGUCGGACGCCUCAUGCCGCUCUGCUAGCUCACCAGCCUCCCUGUAUUAUCCAACAUCCUUCCCUGCCGAUGAUGCAGUUUAAACAGCAAAACACUGGACCCGUCCAACCUGAGGACCACGACCAAAUUGACGGACCCAGCAGCCCUGGGGUCAACACCCAGACCGAUGGACCCUGCAGCCCUGGUGACAUCUGGAGCGACGCCAUGAGUGAGAUGCUACCCAGCACAGCAGAUUCCCUGAAAGCCAUGUCAACCACUCCCUCCGAUAUGUCCCUGAGGGCCCUAUUUAACGGUCUGAAACGCAAGUAAGAAGCGCCAAGUGCAAGUAGCUUUGUGGGCGAUUCUAUGGCGAUGUUGCUAUUUUACCGGCGCAAAAAUGACUCUUGCGCCUGGCGCAUAAGGGUUUGUCUGAAGUAGCCUUAUUACCCGUAUUGUGGUUUGGGCGUAACAUGCAAUAAACCAAUGAGAGUGCCUUUCCACAACUUAAGUACUGAGUCCUCAAAUAAAUUUCGGCAAAGAAAACUUAACACACAUAUGAUAUGCUGUAACUGUGGUUCUAUUUAAUGAUAUACGCAAUACUAUAAACAAUAUACAAAUAUACAAUAUUAUAAACAUCGUUUCUUAUAAGUAUUGUAUGCAUUAUCGUUAUCGACUUGUGUUCCUAAUAUGCCUGUGUCCCCCCGUUAAUAAACAUUGCCAUUGACUGUAUUAUGCGUGACGUGUUUUGUUUGCGUGUGUCUAAACAGAUGGACGCACACACGCGCUCCCACAUUCAUUAAUUAUUUUACACAUACACACACGCGCCCGCAUUCAUUCGUUCUUUUUAACACUCACUCGCGGUCUCACGAUCAAAUACUCAUCAAUCCUAAAAGUUAUGGGCAUGUACACGACACGUGUCUGUGUCAAGAAAAUAUCUGUUUGCUGUAUGGUGUUUGCAGAUGCAUUGAUUUAAAAGUACAACUUAUUACCGCUGUAUCAGCUGUUCUUUCCCAAAUAAUUGAUCCUUCCCUAAUUUACCGACGCGUGGCGCAGGAGGGAAAAGAACGCUCUGCGCCAGUUGGAAACUAGCAACGACACAUGCGCCAGUGAGAAAGUAAAUUGCGCCGGAUGCAAGAUAGGGCCCUUAGAGACAAGAAGAAAGGCUCCUGGUACAUCCAGUCCUUGUGCCAGAAUAUUGUACUCUUGGUUCCACGGUGAGUGAAACGUUCCUGUUUAGAUAUUGUUGUCUGUCAUCAUAUUUUGCUACGAAAAUCCGAAAGCUAAUAAAUACAGUAGGGGCCAACAUUUAUAUUUGUCUGCUUUUUCUGUUGGUUUAUUUUGAUGGGUUCACCCUGUUCUUGGUUCAUGUCACUUCCGUUUGAUUGGCACAUGGGUGGGGUUUAAUCUAUAUACCUGGGCACUGGGAUCUGCAAAGUUAUGGAAAGGGGGUUAGUGGCGGUCCUGAUAUUUACUGUGUACCGUCGUCGUCAUCAUUGUUAACAUUGAAAUUGUCAUCACCUUUAUCCUUUAUUUAUUGGACUGGAUUACCAUCUACAAGUUUCCAUUCACCAGUUUGGAAAAACGCGUAACUGCAUGGAGGCCACGUAUUCCUCUUGGUGGCCUUUAUUGGAAAGCUGUCGCUACAAAUACAUUUCUAAAUGUAUUUUUCUAUAACCGUUGCACGCUUUAGACAUUAUAUCUUAGAUUUUUAUUUUGUAUGUAAUUAUUUUCUUUGUGCCAUCAUUUAAUAUUCAUAUCCAGUUGUUUUUUUCAUUUUAUAUUAGUAUCCUCAUACUUUUUUCUCAUACUCAGAAAAAAUAAUCCUUGAAUGUAAAUUAAGCUCUUUCGGACUAUGAAGAAACGACUUGCUAUUACUGUUCACUUAUUACUGACUGGGACUUGUGUGUUCUUUGCCUUCCCAGUGGUUCACCUUAGGUGAACAACGACGUGAGCCAGAUGUCCAACCCCACCAGCAGCAUGAGACAGAUGCCCCAACCAACUCCUUCAAUAAUAAUAAUAAUAAUAAUAAUAAUACAUUUAAUUUAGAGGCGCCUUUCAAGACACCCAAGGUCACCUUACAGAGCAUAUAGUCAUCAUACAUUAUUUAAAAAAAACAAGACAUUGUGUAAAAAUAAAUAAACAUAAGCAAUAAGAAAUAAAUAAAACAAAAACAAGACAAAACAAAACAAAAAAAACAAUCAAAACAGUGAUCAGUUAGACGUUGUGUGCGAGUUUGAACAGGUGAGUUUUGAGUUGUGACUUGAAGGUUGUAAUGGUGUCUGAUUGUUUUAUGUGUGGGGGGAGGGAGUUCCAGAGCCUGGGUGCUGAACAGCUGAAUGACCGGGCACCCAUUGUAGUGAGUCGUGAUGUGGGGAUACAUAGUAGUCCAGCAGAGGUUGAGCGGAGGGAGCGGGAGGGAGUGUAUUCUUGGAGGAGGUCACAGAGAUAACUGGGGGCUAGGUUGUGGAGAGCUUUGUAGGUGAGGAGUAGGGUUUUGUAUUGGAUACGGUAGUGUACUGGGAGCCAGUGAAGUUGAAUGAGGACAGGGGUGAUGUGGUCAGAUGAUUUGUUGCGGGUGAUGAUCCGGGCGGCUGAGUUCUGAAUGAUCUGCAGUCUGUUGAUGAGUUUGGUGGGGAGUCCGGUGAGGAGGGCGUUGCAGUAGUCUAUGCGUGAUGUGACAAAUGAGUGAACUAGGAUUUCAGUGCUGGAUUGGGUCAGUGAUGGGCGGAGCCUGGCGAUGUUGCGGAGGUGGAAGAAUGCAGUCCGGGUGAUGUUGUGAAUAUGGGGUGUGAAUGAGAGGGUGUUGUCCAGGAUGACACCGAGGCUCUUGACUAGGGUACUGGGAAUCCAUCGAUAAUUAUGAGUGGAGCUGGGGUGUGUUGUGAUUUAGUGAGGGUGGAUUUGGAUCCGAUGAGCAGGGCCUCGGUCUUGUUUCCAUUGAGUUUCAGGAAGUUCCUGCUCAACCAGCUCCGGAUCUCUUCCAGGCAUGUGAUGAGGGAGGUGGGGGGGAUGGCAGCGGUGGGUUUGGUAGAGAUGUAGACCUGUGUGUCGUCAGCGUAGCAGUGAAAAUGGACCCCAUGGUGACGGAGGAGUGUGCCCAGCGGGAGGAGGUAAGUCCUUCUACCGCUCAACCAUUGAAAGUGUGCUCACUUACUGCAUCACAGCAUGGUAUGCUGGGAGUUCGGCGGCAGACAGGACGGCACUUCAGAGGGUUAUAGGCACAGCUCAGAAGAUCACUGGCUGCCCACUGCCCUCCCUGGAAGAGCUGGCCAGCUCCCGCUGCCGAAACAGGACGAGUGCCAUUCUAAAAGACGCUGCGCACCCUGCUCACCACCUGUUCGAUCUGCUUCCCUCUGGCAGGCGAUACAGGUCAAUGAAAUCACGCACCACCAGACUAACCAACAGCUUCUUCCCCUGGGCCAUACGUACGCUAAACAAAAAUAACCCCUGUGCAAUACAUAGACAACCACAUAAUCGAUCACCACUACCUCUGGACAUUCCUCAUCUUGCUUACCUUCCUGGACCUGCUGCUAUUUAGAUAUAUGUGGGCAGAAGGCGUUGUUGUCUGGGAGGGAGGGGAGGGUGUAGGACACUUUAAUGUGCCUUAAGUGGAAGGCAGGGGGAGGGGGUUAUUGGGCUUAUUGUUGUUAUUGUUGUUAUAUAUUUAUUAAUAUUUCUUACUGCAUUCUAUUUAUUUAUUUAUUUAAAAAAGCACUGAACAAGAUCUGCACAUUAAUUUCGUUGUGUAAAUACUUUGUAUUUAACCCAAUGACAAAUAAAGAUUCUAAAUUCUAAAAAAAAAAGUGGUGAAGAGGAGUGGACCCAAGACUGACCCCUGGGGGACACCCAGUGAGAUAUCUGAACACCCAGACUUGUGGUUGCUUAGUUGAACAAAUUGUUGACGGCCGGUGAUCACCGGCCGGUGAUCGACGGACAAUGUCGAUAAGGUUAUGUUGUCUUUAUUUUAUAAAUCUUUUAUAGAAUCUGUUCUCACUUUUUCUUUUAUUUCCUGGUAUGGGGGCAUCAGCCUUAGGGACAAAAACAACCUCAGCCAUAUUGUGAAGGUGGCUGGAAAGUUGAUUGGCUGUCCACAAGUAUCCUUGGACUGUAAAAUUCACCCCCUUCAUUGUUCAUUUGAGGCCCUUGUCUCAGGCCGGCGACUAAGAGUCCCUCUUUCUAAG